CAUCGUAUGUCAGUAUCCUUCUGUUGUGUGAGGAUGAGUUAAGUUCUAAAAUGACGAGUUGAGCAGCAUUCACCUCUCAUCAGACCUUGAGCCAGCUCCCCAACCAAAUCAAAUACAUGGGUCUUCACUGUCAUCUGAUUUGAAAAGGGACAGUCAGGAUUUCCAGGAUGGCUUCUGCACAUAUCUGCAGUUAGCAUAUUCAGAGCAAGCUGAUGCUUUGGCUCGACAGAAAGAGGUUUCCUUCCAGCUGCCUGCUGUGCUGCAGGGACUGUCGUACGGGGGACCCGUGCUGCGCAUUCUCUCUGUGCCUGAUGACACCUUAAUCAUGAUCAGAGAAGAUGGAGCCAUUUAUUUCUGGUCCCUGCAGCUGAAGUUGAAAAGAAGAAAGCGAGUUUUUGACAAGCCCAUCAUUCGGAAGCGCCGGUGGGUGACGGAUGCCACCAGCAUGCCACAGUACAACAAACUGAUCCUAGGAACUGGGUGAGUGCCUGCAGCUCUUCAACUGGGAAGUGAAUAAUUGUUGGGCUGUGAAAUUCGUUUCCAUGUGUGGGUUUACACACACACACACACACACACAC
rnacentral:lncRNA from 1 species